UACGUAGGGUGCGAGCGUUAAUCGGAAUUACUGGGCGUAAAGCGUGCGCAGGCGGUGAUGUAAGACCGAUGUGAAAUCCCCGGGCUUAACCUGGGAACUGCAUUGGUGACUGCAUCGCUCGAGUAUGGCAGAGGGGGGUAGAAUUCCACGUGUAGCAGUGAAAUGCGUAGAGAUGUGGAGGAACACCGAUGGCGAAGGCAGCCCCCUGGGUCAACACUGACGCUCAUGCACGAAAGCGUGGGGAGCAAACAGG
rnacentral:rRNA from 1 species